rnacentral:lncRNA from 1 species
AGAUCUUCACAUCCAGCUGAGACUUCUGCUUUACUAACAUCUAUGUUGUAUCAGUGUCAUGUGAUGCUCUGGUCCAUUGUUGCAAUGCUGAGCUUUCAGUGUCUAAUGCUUUCCUGAGUGUAAGGCAUCUCUGAAUGCUUUAUGAACCCCGAACACACCAGGCAGUAUGGAAUCCUGGGCAGACUCAAGAAUGACAACUGUGAAUUAGUAACAAGCAGCACUGAGACAGGGGUUCUUUAAAUGGAUAAAAGAUGUUUGGCCAGGUGGCUAAAAGAAGCAGAGCACCAGUGAAAUGAGAUGGCAUCAGGAGAGGUGAAAAGAGAAAGCACUAGCUGAUUUGGAAUCAGAAGCAUGGAAUUGUCUCCUGCAUUUCAUACAGGCUAUGGGAGGACACAGGGAGGUGCAAUAGGAGCCAGUCUGCUUCUCCUGAGGAUUCAGAGUGUCCAGAGGCUGGCACAGCACAGUGCCUGCUGCUCCUCCUGCGCUCCUGGCCUCUGCUCCUUGAAAGGCCAGUGCAAAGCCUGGUAA